AGAGAUGCAUUGGGCUUAAAGCGUGCGCAGGCGGUUUUGUAAGACAGAGGUGAAAUCCCCGGGCUCAACCUGGGAACUGCCUUUGUGACUGCAAGGCUGGAGUGCGGCAGAGGGGGAUGGAAUUCCGCGUGUAGCAGUGAAAUGCGUAGAUAUGCGGAGGAACACCGAUGGCGAAGGCAAUCCCCUGGGCCUGCACUGACGCUCAUGCACGAAAGCGUGGGGAGCAAACA
rnacentral:rRNA from 1 species